CAAUAGCGUAUAUUAAAGUUGUUGCGGUUAAAAAGCUCGUAGUUGGAUUUCUGUUGAGGAUGGACGGUCCGCACUAAGUGCGUGUAUCUGUUACAGCCUCGGCAUCCUCUUGGAGAACGGUGCUGUGAUUCAUUUCAUGGUCCGGAAUUCAAGACUUUUACUUUGAGGAAAUUAGAGUGUUCACGGCAAGCAAUCGCUUUGAAUACAUUAGCAUGGAAUAAUAAUAUAGGACCUUGGUACUAUUUUGUUGGUUUCUAGAACUAAGGUAAUGAUUAAUAGGGAUAAUUGGGGGCAUUCGUAUUAACGCGUCAGAGGUGGAAUUCUUGGAUUGCGUUACGACGAACUACUGCGAAAGCAUUUGCCAAGGAUGUUUUCAUUGAUCAAGAACGAAAGUAUGGGAUCGAAGAUGAUUAGAUACCAU
rnacentral:rRNA from 1 species